GCUGAACGCUGUGGUGCAUGCCUAUAGUCACAACUAUUCAGGAGGCUGAGGUGGGAGGAUCGCUUGGGUCCAGCAGUUUUGGGCUGUAGUGUGCUAUGCUGAUGGAGUGUCCACACUAUGUCUGGCCACAAUGUAGUGACCUCCCAAAUCAGGGGAUCACCAGGUUGCUUGAGGAGGGGUGAGCCUAGGUCAUUCCAGCCCAGGUCAGAAAUGGAGCAGGUCAAAACUGCCGUGUUGAUCAGUAGUGGGAUUGCACCUGUGAAUAGCCACUGCCCUCCAGACUGGGCAACAUAGUGGGACCCCCAUCUCU
ensembl:misc_RNA Metazoa_SRP Metazoan signal recognition particle RNA